rnacentral:rRNA from 1 species
GACGAACCGUGCGAACGUUGUUCGGAUUCACUGGGCUUAAAGGGCGCGUAGGCGGGUCAUCAAGUCCAGGGUGAAAGCCCCCGGCUCAACCGGGGAACAGCCUUGGAUACUGGUGGUCUGGAGGAAGGUAGGGGCAGGUGGAACUUCCGGUGGAGCGGUGAAAUGCGUAGAGAUCGGAAGGAACGCCGGUGGCGAAAGCGACCUGCUGGACCUUUUCUGACGCUGAGGCGCGAAAGCUAGGGGAGCAAACGGG